rnacentral:rRNA from 1 species
UACGUAGGGUGCAAGCGUUGUCCGGAAUUAUUGGGCGUAAAGAGCUCGUAGGCGGUUUGUCGCGUCUGCUGUGAAAACCCGAGGCUCAACCUCGGGCCUGCAGUGGGUACGGGCAAACUAGAGUGCGGUAGGGGAGAAUGGAAUUCCUGGUGUAGCGGUGGAAUGCGCAGAUAUCAGGAGGAACACCGAUGGCGAAGGCAGUUCUCUGGGCCGUAACUGACGCUGAGGAGCGAAAGCGUGGGGAGCGAGCAGG